GGGGCUGUGGCUCAGUGGCAGAGCAUCUGCUUCGUAAGCAAAAGGUCCCAGGUUCAACUCCCGGCAACUCCA